rnacentral:rRNA from 1 species
UACCAGCACCCCGAGUGGUCGGGACGUUUAUUGGGCCUAAAGCAUCCGUAGCCGGUUCUACAAGUCUUCCGUUAAAUCCAACUGCUUAACAGGUGGGCUGCGGAAGAUACUAUAGAGCUAGGAGGCGGGAGAGGCAAGCGGUACUCGAUGGGUAGGGGUAAAAUCCGUUGAUCCAUUGAAGACCACCAGUGGCGAAGGCGGCUUGCCAGAACGCGCUCGACGGUGAGGGAUGAAAGCUGGGGGAGCGAACGGG